UUAAUUUGUUUACGACUAGUUACGUUCUAUAGACAUCGUUUAGGUGGUAAGUCCCAAGCCCCGAGGGGCAGGGGAACGGUUCACGGUGUGUGUGUGUGUGUGUUUUUAUUCUCUAAUGAUCCUUCCGCAGGUUCACCUACGGAAA
rnacentral:misc_RNA from 1 species